rnacentral:rRNA from 1 species
CACGGGGUUGGCGAGCGUUGCCCGGAAUUACUAGGCGUAAAGGGCAGGCAGGCGGAUCCAUAAGUUUAUCGUUUAAGGCGUCGGCUUAACCGGCGUAGGGCGGUAGAUACUGUGGAUCUGGAAUGUGGUUGGGGAAGACAGAAUUCCUGGUGUAGCGGUGGAAUGCGCAGAGAUCAGGAGGAAUACCGAAGGCGAAGGCAGUCUUCCAAGCCGUUAUUGACGCUCAACUGCGAAGGUGUGGGUAUCAAACAGGAUUAGAUACCCUGGUAGUCCCUGA